UCCGCGAUAGCUCAGUUGGUAGAGCAGGCGACUGUUAAUCGCCCGGUCGUAGGUUCGAGUCCUACUCGCGGAGCCA
rnacentral:tRNA from 31 species